rnacentral:rRNA from 1 species
AACGAGCGCUGGCGGCGUGUUUAAGACAUGCAAGUCGCACGGUGUCAUUUUGGUAGCAAUACUUGGAUGGCACAGUGGCGCACGGGUGAGUAACACGUGAAUGACAUGCCCUUCAGAGGGGGAUAGCCCAGGGAAACUUGGAUUAAUACCCCAUGGUCUCGCAAGAGUAAAGGUGGCCGCAAGGCUGUCGCUGGAGGAUGGGUUCGCGAUCUAUCAGCUUGUUGGCGGGGUAACGGCCCACGAAGGCUACGACGGAUACCUGGUCUGAGAGGACGAUAAGGCACACUGGAACUAAGAAACGGCCCGGACACCUACGGGUGGCAGCAGUCGCGAAUAGUUCACAAUGGGGGCAACCCUGAUGGUGCAACGCCGCGUGGAGGAUGAAGGUCUUCGGAUUGUAAACUCCUGUCAUCCGGGAGCAAGACCUGACGGUGAAUAGCCGGCAGGGUUGAUAGUACCGGAAGAGGAAGGGACGGCUAACUUCGUGCCAGCCGCCGCAGUAAAAC